GGGCUCGUAGCGCAGCGGUAGCGCGCAUCGUUCGCAACGAUGAGGUCGCGGGUUCAAAUCCCGCCGAGUCCA
rnacentral:tRNA from 1 species